UACGUAGGGUGCAAGCGUUGUCCGGAAUUAUUGGGCGUAAAGAGCUCGUAGGCGGUCUGUCGCGUCUGCUGUGAAAUCUCAGGGCUUAACCCUGAGCGUGCAGUGGGUACGGGCAGACUAGAGUGCGGUAGGGGAGACUGGAAUUCCUGGUGUAGCGGUGAAAUGCGCAGAUAUCAGGAGGGACACCAGUGGCGAAGGCGGUGUUCUGGGCCGGAACUGACGCUGAGGAGCGAAAGCGUGGGUAGCAAACAGG
rnacentral:rRNA from 1 species